GAUGAACGCUAGCUACAGGCUUAACACAUGCAAGUCGAGGGGCAGCAUGGUCUUAGCUUGCUAAGGCCGAUGGCGACCGGCGCACGGGUGAGUAACACGUAUCCAACCUGCCGUCUACUCUUGGACAGCCUUCUGAAAGGAAGAUUAAUACAAGAUGGCAUCAUGAGUCCGCAUGUUCACAUGAUUAAAGGUAUUCCGGUAGACGAUGGGGAUGCGUUCCAUUAGAUAGUAGGCGGGGUAACGGCCCACCUAGUCUUCGAUGGAUAGGGGUUCUGAGAGGAAGGUCCCCCACAUUGGAACUGAGACACGGUCCAAACUCCUACGGGAGGCAGCAGUGAGGAAUAUUGGUCAAUGGGCGCAGGCCUGAACCAGCCAAGUAGCGUGAAGGAGGACUGCCCUAUGGGUGGUAAACUUCUUUUAUAAAGGAAUAAAGUCGGGUAUGUAUACCCGUUUGCAUGUACUUUAUGAAUAAGGAUCGGCUAACUCCGUG
rnacentral:rRNA from 1 species